CAAUCUUGUAACCUCUUGUUUGAUUCUAAUAAAAGCAUCUUUAGUCACCUCAUUCCUACGUUCAUUAUUCUAAUCAACCGAAUCCUGCACAAACAAUUUGCAUUCCGAAUCGAAGAAGAGGUUGAAAGAGCUGAGAGAAGCUGCUAAGGUUAGGAGGUAUGGCUCAGUGACUCCCAUCUCGAGUUCUGAUUUCGUGAGGGAGGUUACGCAGGCCUCUGCUGAAGAUCGGGUUGUUGUUUGUCUCUACAAAGAUGGGUAUGGUUUUUGAUGUUUACUCGUAUUAUUCCUGUGAAAUCUCUAACAUUUAUGGGCUGUGUUUGUCUCUACAAAGAUUGGUCUGUGAUUUAUGUAAUGUAAAGAUGGAAGGAUACAAAGAAUUUGAAGAGAGGGAAAGAAGAAAUUUGAUAAGCAAAUAGAUUUGAAUGUGAUGAUCAGCUCUAAAGGACUCGAUGUAGGCGUUGAUAAAUGAUUACUCUACAGUUGUUUCAACAUCUCUUUACUUCGAUCAACGUUUCUGUCAUGUAAGAAACAUUGUUGUAAUACUCUUUGUUCUCUAGAAUCUCUGUCGUGGUGGUUCUGUUUCAGUAGGUGAUACAGAAGUACGCUUCUUUGCGGAUGAGUGGAGUGAAGUUCAUCAGCUUAUUCCACUAGUUAAUGAUGGUGAGACUGAUAAGAAGGGUGGUUAUGACAUCAUUCUAAUGGCUGAGACACUUUAUUCCAUCUCUGCUCAGAAACGUCUCUAUGAACUGAUUAAAAGGUGCUUGGCCUAUCAUGAUGGAGCAGUGUACAUGGCUGCUAAGAAGUACUAUUUCGGGGUUGGUGGAGGGACAAGGCAGUUUCUGUCUAUGAUUGAGAAAGAUGGUAAGAAUGGUCUAUACAAAGAAAGGAUUGUGUUUGUUCAUCCUCAGCACCAUCCCUAGCUUAUGCAGCCUCAAAUGCUACAACCAGGUACACUUGAGAUCACUUACCAUACUUUUUCUUUCAACCAUGGAAGUAUAAUUUGUUGAAAUAAUCGCAGAUAUAUAGUAAAAGAAACCUUUGAUUAUAUCUUUGAUUAUCAGAUAGUUGAUCACUUUGCUUAUA